AGCAGCCGCGGUAAUUCCAGCUCCAAUAGCGUAUAUUAAAGUUGUUGCAGUUAAAAAGCUCGUAGUUGAAUUUCGGGAUCAAUAUAUUGGUCGUGCCUCCGGUAUGCACUAGUAUCAUUGAUUUCUACCUUCUGACGAACUAUGAUGUCAUUAAUUUGGUGUCAUGGGGAAUCAGGACUGUUACUUUGAAAAAAUUAGAGUGUUUAAAGCAGGCACACGCUUGAAUACAUUAGCAUGGAAUAAUGAAAUAGGACGUUUGACCCUAUUUUGUUGGUUUCUAGGAUCGACGUAAUGAUUAAUAGGGAUAGUUGGGGGCAUUAGUAUUCAAUUGUCAGAGGUGAAAUUCUUGGAUUUAUUGAAGACUAACUACUGCGAAAGCAUUUGCCAAGGAUGUUUUCAUUAAUCAAGAACGAAAGUUAGGGGAUCGAAGACGAUCAGAUACCGUCGUAGUCUUAACCAUAAACUAUGCCGACUAGGGAUCGGAUGAUGUUAAUUUUUUAAUGACUCA
rnacentral:rRNA from 1 species